rnacentral:sRNA from 1 species
AACCUUUGAACGUGCCAGUAAGUAAGAUGGCGAGAAAAGCAAGAGAGCGUGGGACCGAUCGAUAGCGCAGCGGUCGGCUUGGCGCCCUUUCAGCGUGCGCAGUGAACGUGCGCUCGGAGCGGUAGAUUGGGCAGGAUUCGCGCCUCCAUUUUUCCAGGAGAGAGCGGGAUACCGAGAGAACCGGACCAGCUGCUGGCAGGGAAACUGUCUUCCUUUUCUCCAAGAUGUACAGAACCAAAGUGGGCUUGAAGGACCGCCAGCAGCUCUACAAGCUGAUCAUUAGCCAGCUGCUAUAUGACGGCUACAUCAGCAUCGCCAAUGGCCUCAUCAAUGAAAUCAAGCCUCAGUCUGUGUGUGCACCCUCGGAGCAGCUCCUGCAUCUCAUCAAACUAGUUUCUGUAGUUAUAGAUAAAGUAGUAAACUCUGGAGGCAAGAACCUGGGGAAAUGACUUUGUCUAUUGGAGCCUAACCUUCCAGCAACCCAUGUGGCCUCACAGCGUGGUGAACUUUGAAUAGCAUGGGCAAAAUACACAGUUUUGUAAAGUAUUAGGUGUCACGCGAC